UACGUAGGGGGCAAGCGUUGUCCGGAAUUAUUGGGCGUAAAGCGCGUGUAGGCGGCUCGAUAAGUCUGCUGUGAAAGUCCAAGGCUCAACCUUGGAAAGCCGGUGGAUACUGUCGAGCUCGAGUCCGGAAGAGGCGAGUGGAAUUCCUGGUGUAGCGGUGAAAUGCGCAGAUAUCAGGAGGAACACCAAUGGCGAAGGCAGCUCGCUGGGACGGUAGCUGACGCUGAGACGCGAAAGCGUGGGGAGCAAACAGG
rnacentral:rRNA from 1 species